GGCGUAAAAGGUGGCUAGGGUAAUUUUAUAUAGGGCCGAACCCCCUCUAGGCUGUUAUACGCAUCCGAAGGAAUGAAGCACCAACACGAAAGUAGCCCUACCUCCCCCGAACCCACGAAAGCCAUAAAACAAACUGGGAUUAGAUACCCCACUAUGUCUGGCCCUAAACUUCGAUAGAAUAUCACACCCCUAUCCGCCAGGGAACUACAAGCACCAGCUUUAAACCCAAAGGACUUGGCGGUGCUUUAGACCCCCCUAGAGGAGCCUGUUCUAAAACCGAUAAUCCCCGUUGAACCUCACCACCUUUUGUUAACUCCGCCUAUAUACCGCCGCCGUCAGCUUACCCUGUGAAGGCCUCAUAGUAAGCAAAAUUGGCAAACCCCAAAACGUCAGGUCGAGGUGUAGCGUAUGAGGUGGGAAGAAAUGGGCUACAUUCUUUCAAACCAGAGAAUACGAAUAUGGACUGAAAUCGCCCAUUUAAAGGAGGAUUUAGCAGUAAGUAAAAACAGAGUGUUUUACUGAAA
rnacentral:rRNA from 1 species